GACGAACGCUGGCGGCGUGCUUAACACAUGCAAGUCGAACGAUGAAGAGGGUGCUUGCACUCUUGGAUUAGUGGCGAACGGGUGAGUAACACGUGAGUAACCUGCCCUUGGCUCUGGGAUAAGCGCUGGAAACGGCGUCUAAUACUGGAUAGGACCUUCUGCCGCAUGGUGGGGGGUGGAAAGAUUUAUCGGCCAUGGAUGGGCUCGCGGCCUAUCAGCUUGUUGGUGAGGUAGUGGCUCACCAAGGCGACGACGGGUAGCCGGCCUGAGAGGGUGACCGGCCACACUGGGACUGAGACACGGCCCAGACUCCUACGGGAGGCAGCAGUGGGGAAUAUUGCACAAUGGGCGCAAGCCUGAUGCAGCAACGCCGCGUGGGGGAUGACGGCCUUCGGGUUGUAAACCUCUUUUGGUAGGGAAGAAGCCUUCGGGUGACGGUACCUGCAGAAAAAGGACCGGCUAACUACGUGCCAGCAGCCGCCGUAAUAC
rnacentral:rRNA from 1 species